rnacentral:lncRNA from 1 species
AAGGUCAUAAGACGUGUGUAAAUUUUAUGGUCUUCAGAUGGGAAAGUUGUGAGAUUACAAUUAAAAUGUGUUGUGAAGGAAAUAUUCCUCUAUAUGUUUGUGCGUGCGUAAGUUACUAUACAUUUUCAUAAGUACGAAAACCUUCGUAUUUAUAGGUCAUUUUUAAUAAUAUAACUUUCGAAUCGAAUAUUUAUACUAUUAAAUAUGAUUUAGAGAAUUUAAAUUUAAAGUAUCUAAAAAUUAAAUUUUAUAUUUUUUUUGAAUUUAUACUGAAGU